rnacentral:rRNA from 1 species
UACGUAGGGUGCGAGCGUUAAUCGGAAUUACUGGGCGUAAAGGGUGCGCAGGCGGCUCCGCAUGUCGGGCGUGAAAUCCCCGGGCUUAACCUGGGAAUUGCGUCCGAAACUAUGGAGCUGGAGUGUGGCAGAGGGAGGUGGAAUUCCACGUGUAGCGGUGAAAUGCGUAGAGAUGUGGAGGAACACCGAUGGCGAAGGCAGCCUCCUGGGCCAACACUGACGCUCAUGCACGAAAGCGUGGGGGGCAAACAGG